UUUACUAUGAUGCUAUAAAUACCCAUGUUUUGGUCAGUGAGCCGGGGUCCAUUAGCACGCACUGCAGUAGUAACACGAUGUAUAGCUAAGUGUAUUUUUUACGGUAACCAUCUCCAUUAGGGGUAAGUUCGUUUUUCCUUAUACUUUAGUCUUGUUUGUAAUAUUUAAGACUUUAGGUAACUGUUCUUAUACGUGUUCGAUAGUAUUUUCGUGUUAACGUUUUACAUACUUGUUUAUUUACCGUAGAGUUAUGGUACGUUUGUGUGACAAGCGUGGUUUGCUAGUUUAUUUGUGAGUUUAUAUUUCGUAGUCUUAUACGGCGUUUUUGGUCAUACAUUGACUGUUUUGUGAUGUUAAGGGGUCUUAUACACUUAACUUUAUUGCAUGUUAAGAGGUCUGAUACACUUAACGGUUUUUCACAGCGAGUAUUGUUCGGUGUGAUUGUAUGGCGUGCAGUUGCGGUAAUUAGGUAAAUAAGUAUAUUGUGAAAGUGAAACGUUGAAUUGAAAAUAUUGUUAUUUAUAUAUAAUUAAAAGGUUCCAACAAGGCUCCAGCAAUGUCCCAGUGAUGAUUCGGCCAUAGUCACCAGUGUUCCGGUAUUGAACAUCUUACCACCCGUGCAACCUCCUUCGAGUAUUCCCUUACUACGCUGGAAGCCGGUGGACGGAAGCCGUCAUCUUAGGACGUGGUACCGAAGGAGGACACAUUGGAGGAACACUGGAGGGACACUGCUGUCCAAUAUACCACCAUAGGACAUUGACGAAUCAGAUAUUAGAAACAUUUUUUUUUGUUAAUAUUUUGUGUGUGUGUGAAUGUGUAUAUUUGUAAAUUUAUUGAUUUUAUAUAUAGAUAAAGAUUGUAAAUACUUA